rnacentral:rRNA from 1 species
GACGAACGUUUGCGGCGUGCUUAACACAUGCAAGUCGAACGGAAAGGCCCUGCUUUUGUGGGGUGCUCGAGUGGCGAACGGGUGAGUAACACGUGAGUAACCUGCCCUUGACUUUGGGAUAACUUCAGGAAACUGGGGCUAAUACCGGAUAGGAGCUCCUGCUGCAUGGUGGGGGUUGGAAAGUUUCGGCGGUUGGGGAUGGACUCGCGGCUUAUCAGCUUGUUGGUGGGGUAGUGGCUUACCAAGGCUUUGACGGGUAGCCGGCCUGAGAGGGUGACCGGCCACAUUGGGACUGAGAUACGGCCCAGACUCCUACGGGAGGCAGCAGUGGGGAAUAUUGCACAAUGGGCGGAAGCCUGAUGCAGCAACGCCGCGUGCGGGAUGACGGCCUUCGGGUUGUAAACCGCUUUCGCCUGUGACGAGGCGUGAGUGACGGUAAUGGGUAAAGAAGCACCGGCUAACUACGUGCCAGCAGCCGCGGUGAUACGUAGGGUGCGAGCGUUGUCCGGAUUUAUUGGGCGUAAAGGGCUCGUAGGUGGUUGAUCGCGUCGGAAGUGUAAUCUUGGGGCUUAACCCUGAGCGUGCUUUCGAUACGGGUUGACUUGAGGAAGGUAGGGGAGAAUGGAAUUCCUGGUGGAGCGGUGGAAUGCGCAGAUAUCAGGAGGAACACCAGUGGCGAAGGCGGUUCUCUGGGCCUUUCCUGACGCUGAGGAGCGAAAGCGUGGGGAGCGAACAGGCUUAGAUACCCUGGUAGUCCACGCUGUAAACGGUGGGUACUAGGUGUGGGGUCCAUUCCACGGGUUCCGUGCCGUAGCUAACGCUUUAAGUACCCCGCCUGGGGAGUACGGCCGCAAGGCUAAAACUCAAAGGAAUUGACGGGGCCCCGCACAAGCGGCGGAGCAUGCGGAUUAAUUCGAUGCAACGCGUAGAACCUUACCUGGGUUUGACAUGGAUCGGGAGUGCUCAGAGAUGGGUGUGCCUCUUUUGGGGUCGGUUCACAGGUGGUGCAUGGCUGUCGUCAGCUCGUGUCGUGAGAUGUUGGGUUAAGUCCCGCAACGAGCGCAACCCUUGUUCACUGUUGCCAGCACGUUAUGGUGGGGACUCAGUGGAGACCGCCGGGGUCAACUCGGAGGAAGGUGGGGAUGACGUCAAGUCAUCAUGCCCCUUAUGUCCAGGGCUUCACGCAUGCUACAAUGGCUGGUACAGAGAGUGGCGAGCCUGUGAGGGUGAGCGAAUCUCGGAAAGCCGGUCUCAGUUCGGAUUGGGGUCUGCAACUCGACCUCAUGAAGUCGGAGUCGCUAGUAAUCGCAGAUCAGCAACGCUGCGGUGAAUACGUUCCCGGG